GCCUGGAUAGCUCAGGGGUAGAGCGCGUCCUUGGUAAGGACGAGGCCAUGGGUUCAACUCCCAUUCCAGGCU
rnacentral:tRNA from 1 species